UUCUUUUCUGGGCUUCACGUUUUACUCAAAUAAUUCCAGCCCGAUAGCAAGAAGUUGGCCCCUUCACCUUCGUAACGAAAAGCUUCCAUCCUUUCUAGGGUUCAUCUGUGCAUCCAAUCGUCGUGAUUAAGCCUCUCAGUAAUAAGUAGAGUAUCGCGUUUUUUCGAGCGGGAAGAGAGCUUUGCGGCGUAGUUUGUCAAACACUUCAUCGUCACUGAGAAGGAAUAUGACAGAGGAGAGAGAUGAAAAGGCCGGUGAUUGCUUCUCUGAUGAUCGUAAAAGAUGCGCUUGGAUCACUCCGAAAUCUGACCAAUCUUGCAUUGCUUUCCAUAAUGAAGAGUGGGGAGUUCCUGUCCAUGAUGACAAGUACGUGAUGAUAUAUCUUUUACUGAUUAUUUUUGAUUAGUCUGGGAGAUGCUAUUUGUUUAUUAUAAACUCUCUUAUUUGUCAAACUGCUUACAUGAAAAUUUCCGAGUUAUUAAGCCUCCCUGGUCUUCUCCCGGAACUAUCCUGGAAAUACAUUCGUUUCAAAAGACAAUCAUUCAGAAAAAUUUUCAAGGAGUUUGAUUCAAUUCCUACAUCUGAACUAACAAACAAAAAAAGAGAACACCCCCUCAGACGUUGCUACCACCCCCAUUACUAUCCAUGAUCCAAGGCUUAAUGGUUAAACACAGUUAUAGAGUUGCAUAUUCCCAUCCUUUUGGCUUCCCACAGGAGAAUAUAUUUGGUAACAUCGUCUGGAAAACAUAGAGUUCUUUCUUUACAUGCACCUAAAACAAACAGAGAUGCUGACAAAAAAAAAAAAAAAACAAACAAACAAACAGAGAUGAAAGGAGUGUUCAGAAAAAUGUCCAGAUUAAUACAGAGUUAGCCAGAAGACUAUGAACGCACAUGAGGCAGAAGCAACUGCAGAACAGGCAGUUUCAAAGGUAGAAGCUGCCAUGACAGCGGCUGAAGAAGCUGCAAAGGAAGCAGAUGCAGCAGAAGCUGCUCGAGCUUAUGCCGAAGAAGCUUCAAAGACACUGGAAGGAAAAAAAACAUCUGCAAAGUGAUGGUUUGUACAUGAGAUGACAUAGAAGAAUAAGAAGCUAAAUGUGUUACAGGUGAUGAGAGAGAGAGAAGCGCAGAAGUAGUGUUUGUUGUUGAUGAUUUUCCACUUAGAAACUCUUUUUAGUUAUUUCGUGAAAAAAAAUUCUUUUUAGUUGUAAAGCAGUAAAUCUCAGAUGCUAAAGCCAUUGUAUUAUUGUUCACACUUUACUCUACGGCCAAAAUAAGAUAAAAACUGAAAACAUAAAAGGCUAC